rnacentral:rRNA from 1 species
GACGUAGGGCGCGAGCGUUGUCCGGAUUUAUUGGGCGUAAAGAGCUCGUAGGCGGCUUGUCGCGUCGUCCGUGAAAACCUGCGGCUCAACUGCAGGCUGGCGGUCGAUACGGGCAGGCUAGAGUUCGGUAGGGGAGAUCGGAAUUCCUGGUGUAGCGGUGAAAUGCGCAGAUAUCAGGAGGAACACCGGUGGCGAAGGCGGAUCUCUGGGCCGAUACUGACGCUGAGGAGCGAAAGCGUGGGGAGCGAACAGG